rnacentral:rRNA from 1 species
AGUGGAUGGGGAGCAACCUAGUUGUGAGUGCGGAAAGGUAGUGCCAAGAAAAGCUGUCAGAAUGAUGAGAAUUGAGUCCCGGUACCCGAAACCGACACAGGUAGGCAAGUAGAGAAUACUAAGGGGCGCGAGGUAACUCUCUCCAAGGAACUCGGCAAAAUGACCCCGUAACUUAGGGAGAAGGGGUGCCACCGAGAGGUGGUCGCAGUGAAGAGGCCCAGGCGACUGUUUAGCAAAAACAUAGGUCUCUGCAAACUCGAAAGAGGAAGUAUAGGGGCUGACGCCUGCCCAGUGCCGGAAGGUUAAAGAAGUUGGUCAGGAGAAAUCUGAAGCUGGCGACUGAAGCCCCGGUGAACGGCGGCCGUAACUAUAACGGUCCUAAGGUAGCGAAAUUCCUUGUCGGGUAAGUUCCGACCCGCACGAAAGGCGUAACGAUCUGGGCGCUGUCUCGGAGAGAGGCUCGGCGAAAUAGGAUUGUCUGUGAAGAUACGGACUACCUGCAUUUGGACAGAAAGACCCUAUGAAGCUUUACUGUAGCUUGAAAUUGUGUUCGGGCUUCCUGUGCGCAGGAUAGGUGGGAGGCUAGGAAGGUCUGCUUGUGGGCAGAUUGGAGCCAACCGUGAGAUACCACUCUCAGGAGGCUAGAAUUCUAACUUAAUUAAGGACAGUUUCAGGUGGGCAGUUUGACUGGGGCGGUCGCCUCCAAAAAGGUAACGGAGGCGUACAAAGGUUCCCUCACACUGGUUGGAAAUCAGUGGCAGAGUGCAAAGGCAGAAGGGAGCUUGACUGCGAGACGGACAAGUCGAGCAGGGUGGAAACACGGUCUUAGUGAUCCGACGGUGCUGUGUGGAAGGGCCGUCGCUCAACGGAUAAAAGUUACUCUAGGAUAACAGGCUGAUCUCCCCCAAGAGUUCACAUCGACGGGGAGGUUCGGCACCUCGAUGUCGGCUCAUCGCAACCUGGGGCGGAAGUACGUCCCAAGGGUUGGGCUGUUCGCCCAUUAAAGCGGUAUGUGAGCUGGGUUCAGAACGUCGUGAGACAGUUCGGUCCAUAUCCGAUGUAGGCGUGAGAAUAUUGAGAGGAGCCUUCCUUAGUACGAGAGGACCGGGAAGGACGCACCGCUGGUGUACCUGUUAUGAUGCCAAUCGUAAACGCAGGGUAGCCAAGUGCGGAGAGGAUAACCGCUGAAAGCAUCUAAGUGGGAAGCCCACCUCAAGAUGAGUAUUCUGGUGUAAGGUCACGGGGAGACGACCCGUAGAUAGGCACGAGGUGGAAGUGAGAGAUGUAUGAAGCCGAAGUGUACUAAUAGACCGUCGGCUUGACC